rnacentral:rRNA from 1 species
ACGGCUCAGUAACACGUGGAUAACCUGCCCUCAGGUCUGGCAUAACCCCGGGAAACUGGGGAUAAUACCGGAUAACGCAUAUGUGCUGGAAUGCUUUAUGCGUCAAAGGUCCUCCGCCUGAGGAUGGGUCUGCGGCCUAUCAGGUAGUAGCGGGUGUAAUGUACCUGCUAGCCGACGACGGGUACGGGUUGUGAGAGCAAGAGCCCGGAGAUGGAUUCUGAGACAUGAAUCCAGGCCCUACGGGGCGCAGCAGGCGCGAAAACUUUACAAUGCGGGAAACCGUGAUAAGGGGACACCGAGUGCCAGCAAUAUUUGCUGGCUGUCCAGGUGUGUAAAUUACACCUGUUAGCAAGGGCCGGGCAAGACCGGUGUUAGCCGUUGUGGUAACACCGGCGGCCCGAGUGGUGAUCGUUAUUAUUGGGUCUAAAGGGUCCGUAGCCGGUUUAGUCAGUCCUCCGGGAAAUCUGUCAGCUCAACUGAUAGGCUAUCGGGGGAUACUGCUAGACUUGGAACCGGGAGAGGUAAGAGGUACUACAGGGGUAGGAGUGAAAUCUUGUAAUCCCUGUGGGACCACCAGUGGCGAAGGCGUCUUACCAGAACGGGUUCGACGGUGAGGGACGAAAGCUGGGGGCACGAACCGGAUUAGAUACCCGGGUAGUCCCAGCCGUAAACGAUGCUCGCUAGGUGUCAUGCAUGGUGCGACCGUGUAUGGUGCCGUAGGGAAGCCGUGAAGCGAGCCACCUGGGAAGUACGGCCGCAAGGCUGAAACUUAAAGGAAUUGGCGGGGAAGCAC